AUGGGAACGCGAAGAACCUUACCUAGACUUGACAUCUUCCGCAUUAAUCGUAAUGGAUGAAAUCCCUUCGGGGACAGAAUGACAGGUGGUGCAUGGUUGUCGUCAGCUCGUGUCGUGAGAUGUUGGGUUAAGUCCCGCAACGAGCGCAACCCCUAUUACUAGUUGCUACCAUUAAGUUGAGCACUCUAGUGAGACUGCCCGGGUUAACCGGGAGGAAGGCGGGGAUGACGUCAAAUCAUCAUGCCCCUUAUGUCUAGGGCAACACACGUGCUACAAUGGUGAGUACAGAUAGAUGCGAUACCGCAAGGUGGAGCCAAACUCUAAAACUCAUCCCAGUUCGGAUUGUAGGCUGCAACUCGCCUACAUGAAGUUGGAGUUGCUAGUAAUCGCGAAUCAGAAUGUCGCGGUGAAUACGUUCCCGGGUCUUGUACACACCG
rnacentral:rRNA from 1 species